rnacentral:misc_RNA from 1 species
GUGCCUUACUGAUUGAUCGAAUGGGUCAAAAGGAUUCAGCUCUGGAGGAAGAAGUCAGAUACAGAUACAAUAGUGUUAUUUUGCAUUACAGGAAGUCAUUUAUACAAGAUAACACUCAAAGGGUUUCACCCCUAAGUUUCGAACUCGAGGCUACUUUGAAGUUGGCUAGAUUUCUUUGCAGGAGAGAGCUGGCUAAAGAGGUUGCAGAGUUAUUAAC